rnacentral:tRNA from 1 species
GCUGAUAUGGCUCAGUUGGUAGAGCGCACCCUUGGUAAGGGUGAGGUCCACAGUUCGACUCUGGGUAUCAGCACCA